GGAUCAAUUAAUCGGUCGUGCCUCUGGUACGCACUGGUUUUAUUGGUUUCUCCCUUCUGACGAACCAGGAUGUCAUUAAUUUGGUGUCUUGGAGAAUCAGGACUGUUACUUUGAAAAAAUUAGAGUGUUUAAAGCAGGCUAACGCUUGAAUACAUUAGCAUGGAAUAAUGAAAUAGGACGUUUGAUCCUAUUUUGUUGGUUUCUAGGAUCGACGUAAUGAUU
rnacentral:rRNA from 1 species